rnacentral:rRNA from 1 species
UACGUAGGGUGCGAGCGUUGUCCGGAAUUAUUGGGCGUAAAGAGCUCGUAGGCGGUUUGUCGCGUCGGCCGUGAAAACUCGGAGCUUAACUCCGAGCCUGCUUCCGAUACGGGCAGACUAGAGGUAGGCAGGGGAGAGCGGAACUCCUGGUGUAGCGGUGGAAUGCGCAGAUAUCAGGAAGAACACCGGUGGCGAAGGCGGCUCUCUGGGGCCUUACCUGACGCUGAGGAGCGAAAGCGUGGGUAGCGAACAGG